GUUUUAAUAAUUUAAUCAAAAUAUUGGUCUUGUAAACCAAAUUUAAGUAAUCUUUUAAAACU
rnacentral:tRNA from 1 species